AGUGUUGUGGCUCAGUGGUAGAGUGCUCGCCUAGCAAGCAGGAGGCACUGGGUUCGAUUCUCAGCACCACAU
rnacentral:tRNA from 1 species